rnacentral:rRNA from 1 species
UACGUAGGGGGCAAGCGUUAUCCGGAAUUACUGGGUGUAAAGGGUGCGUAGGUGGUAUGGCAAGUCAGAAGUGAAAACCCAGGGCUUAACUCUGGGACUGCUUUUGAAACUGUCAGACUGGAGUGCAGGAGAGGUAAGCGGAAUUCCUAGUGUAGCGGUGAAAUGCGUAGAUAUUAGGAGGAACAUCAGUGGCGAAGGCGGCUUACUGGACUGAAACUGACACUGAGGCACGAAAGCGUGGGGAGCAAACAGGAUUAGAUACCCAGUCCGGCUGACUGACU